rnacentral:rRNA from 1 species
AUUGAACGCUGGCGGCAUGCUUUACACAUGCAAGUCGAACGGCAGCACGGGGGCAACCCUGGUGGCGAGUGGCGAACGGGUGAGUAACACAUCGGAACGUGUCCUGUGGUGGGGGAUAACCUGGCGAAAGCCAGGCUAAUACCGCAUGCGCUCGACAGAGGAAAGCGGGGGACUGGUAACGGCCUCGCGCUGCAGGAGCGGCCGAUGUCCGAUUAGCUAGAGGUAGGGUAAAGGCCUACCUAGGCGACGAUCGGUAGCUGGUCUGAGAGGAUGAUCAGCCACACUGGGACUGAGACACGGCCCAGACUCCUACGGGAGGCAGCAGUGGGAUUUUGGACAAUGGGGGCAACCCUGAUCCAGCCAUGCCGCGUGAGUGAAGAAGGCC